UACGGAAGGUGCAAGCGUUGUUCGGAAUGACUGGGCGUAAAGAGCACGUAGGCGGGUCUAUAAGUCGGAUGUGAAAGCCCUAGGCUUAACCUAGGAAUGGCAUCCGAAACUGCAGAUCUUGAAUGUCUGAGAGGCUAGCGGAAUUCCAGGUGUAGGAGUGAAAUCCGUAGAUAUCUGGAGGAAUACCGGCGGCGAAGGCGGCUGGCUGGCAGCACAUUGACGCUGAGGUGCGAAAGCGUGGGGAGCAAACAGG
rnacentral:rRNA from 1 species